UCCGGAAUAGCUCAGCGGUAGAGCAGUGGACUGUUAAUCCAUUGGUCGUAGGUUCGAAUCCUACUUCCGGAGUCA
rnacentral:tRNA from 1 species